GCCCGUUUAGCUCAGUUGGUAGAGCGCGACACUAGUAUCCAGUAUCCACUGAAUGCGUAAUGUCGAGGUCGGUCGUUCAAAUCGGCCAGGGGCA